UACGGAGGGUGCGAGCGUUGUCCGGAAUCACUGGGCGUAAAGGGCGCGUAGGCGGUCUGUUAAGCGUGUGGUGAAAGCUCGGGGCUCAACCCCGAGUCUGCCAUGCGAACUGGUGGACUUGAGCACUGUAGAGGCAGGUGGAAUUCCGGGUGUAGCGGUGGAAUGCGUAGAGAUCCGGAAGAACACCGGUGGCGAAGGCGGCCUGCUGGGCAGUUGCUGACGCUGAGGCGCGACAGCGUGGGGAGCGAACAGG
rnacentral:rRNA from 1 species